rnacentral:rRNA from 1 species
GAUGAACGCUGGCGGCGUGCCUAAUACAUGCAAGUCGAGCGAACGGACGAGAAGCUUGCUUCUCUGAUGUUAGCGGCGGACGGGUGAGUAACACGUGGAUAACCUACCUAUAAGACUGGGAUAACUUCGGGAAACCGGAGCUAAUACCGGAUAAUAUUUUGAACCGCAUGGUUCAAAAGUGAAAGACGGUCUUGCUGUCACUUAUAGAUGGAUCCGCGCUGCAUUAGCUAGUUGGUAAGGUAACGGCUUACCAAGGCAACGAUGCAUAGCCGACCUGAGAGGGUGAUCGGCCACACUGGAUCUGAGACACGGUCCAGACUCCUACGCGAGGCAGCAGUCGGCAAUCUUCCGCAAUGGGCGAAAGCCUGACGGAGCAACGCCGCGUGGGUGAUGAAGGUCUUCGGAUCGUAAAACUCUGUUAUUAGGGAAGAACAUAUGUGUAAGUAACUGUGCACAUCUUGACGGUACCUAAUCAGAAAGCCACGGCUAACUACGUG